GAUUCAACGUUAAGUCUCUCAAAUCGCACAAGUUUACCUCAAAGACAUUUUUACAAUGCCUUUGGAGAACUCUUUUGAACUUGCUCUCAUUGAAUACCCAAUCCUGGCCUAAAGUACAGUGUAAUGAUGCUUAUAUAUCGCUCCACUGGCUCUGCAAGCCCACUUGAGCCAGUUUUGUACAACACUUCAGCUCCUGGGUGGGAGCCGCCGCCGCAGCAGCGUCAGGCAGCCCUUCAGCACCACUCAGCUCCACGGCACCCGGCUGAAGGGUUUCCGUCAGGAAAACAUGGGAAGUACUCCAGAGAUUUUGCAAGUGGGGGGACCAGCUGAGCUCAGCCCCGUGGUCUCCAGCCAAGUGGGAGCAGGAGGUUAAGGGCCUGCAAUUAAGACAGAGAGAUCUUCAUUUAGAGCUUGAGGGUGGCAAAAUGGCAGCUGCUCCUACAGGCCCUGCUGUGCUCUCACUGUGAGGGGACGGGCUCUUUGCUGAGCACUGGGCACCCCAUGCACAGACGGGCAAAGCUCUGCUGGUCCACCCACUUCAGGGCUUUGUGCCUCCCGAAGAAUUAGAGGUUCGCUCAGCACCGUGCGAGGCCUUAGGGCUGCGGGGAAACCACGGACGGCAGCACAGAAGAGCGUGGUGGGGCCCGGCAAAGCCGAGCGAAGGAGCGCAUCGUUGGCAGUGACCCGAGUGCGGGCGGGGGCUCCUGUCCCCCAGAGCGGUGCCCGUCUCCUCAGGAGGGUGAAAAACACGGGCCCUGCUCACAGAGUGUGUGAGAGCAGAGGAGGAGGAGGAGGAGGGAGCCCGGCAGGCCCCUGCCCAUGGCAGCGGUGGCCGGGGCAGUGGUGCUGCCGGGGCAGGGGCAGGCCGCGGUGCACAGCGUGUCCCAGGGCAUGGCUCUCACCCUGCGGGAAGGGAUCUGCGUGUUCUAUGACCUAGAGCUGGCACAGAUUCAUGUUCUGCAAGAGGAAGGGCAAGAAAAGAGUUCAGAAAGCAAGGCAACUGAGAAACCACUAGACAUGCUCCGGAUGGAGAUUGACAGAGAUAAUGAUGCCAUUGCGUUUGAAAAUAACAUCCAGCAGCUGAGCCCAUCUGAAGAGGGGGAAGGAAAGAAACUUUUUUCCACAGUUGGGGAAAAAAAGAGCCAAAGCUGCAAAGCCAGUGAAAAUUUGUCAGAGUUGUGUAAUGAAAGUAAAGAGCGGGAAUAUGCAACUGCAUCAGAACAAACAGUUGUAAAAAAUUCCAAGAAUCUAAAAUUUCAGGCUUGUGCACCACGUCAGAAAAAAGGAGAAAAAGAAGGUUUCAGCUGCUGUUUCUGUUCAUUCACCUCAGCCAGAUUGUCAAAUCUGAAGCGUCACUUGAAAACCCAUUCUGAUGAGAAACGUUACUUGUGUCACCUCUGCCCGAAGGCUUUUCGUACAGCAACUCUCCUGCACAACCAUGUGAACACACAUACAGGGACCAAACCCUAUAAGUGCAGUGACUGUGAUACAGCAUUUGUGACCAGGGGUGAGCUGUCACGACACAGGCGGUACAAACACACCUUAGAAAAACCUUUCAAGUGCACAAUAUGUGAAUACUCCAGUGUAGAAGCCAGCAAAAUGAGACGACACAUUCGUUCCCACACAGGAGAGCGUCCCUAUCCCUGUGACCUUUGCAGUUAUGCCAGCAAAGAUGCCUAUAAACUGAAAAGGCACAUGUUAACUCAUACAGGGGAAAAACGCUAUGAAUGUUGUGUUUGCCGGGCCAGAUUCACUCAAAGCGGUACCAUGAAAAUCCAUAUGUUACAGAAGCACGGAGAAAAUGUCCCAAAACACCAGUGUCCACACUGCAGUACCCUUAUUUCCCGAAAAAGUGAUUUGGGUGUCCACUUGCGAAAUCUUCACUCCUACAUGGAGGAGGCCAUUAAGUGCAGUGCCUGUGAGGCAGUUUUUCACGAACGCUACGCUUUCCUUCAGCACAGGAAGACUCACAGAGGAGGAAAAGGAUUCAAAUGUGCUCAGUGCAGCUACACGUGUAAUCAGAAAAAUAUGCGUAAGCAUGCUGAAAAUUGUGGAUUGGGGAGGACAGAAACUGCUGCACCCAGAAAAAGAAGCAAGGAGAAAAAUAAAAUCCGGGAGAACCCCAAGCGUGUUAAGUCAGAAGUGCCUAAGGAAUGCAGGAGCGUGUGGAGGUGCUGCCGGCUCCAUCCUGCCAGGAGAACAGCCCAGGAGGGACCUGCUGUUCCUGCCGGGCUCCCCUCGCCUGGCAGAUGCAGGCUGGCUGCAGGAGGUCACUGUGGGCAGCCAGGCUGCCCUAAUGUGGGGUUUUCUCCUUCUCAGGAGCAGCUGAUUGAGUCGGAACAAUACUCUGCUUUCCCCAUUUGGUGAUGAAGACUGACAGUUUGUAGGAGAUGAGUCAAAGGUCACUGAUGAGAAGAUCCAUCCAGAUAAUUGCUGUAAUUGCACCCUGAGGAUGCAGCUCCUGUCACAAAGCAUCAGGCAGUGACUCUGUUGCAGAGGUCCAAGGGAUUGGAAACAAAAUGUUUGUUUUUGAAAGAAGUUACAGUGUUCUUUUUCUGUCAAAACUACAUAAAGGAUUGUGAUUCCCCGGCCAUUAGUGAGGAGAAAUCUCGACAACAAAACAACUUAGAAUGUGUUUCAUCUUUUGGAUGAGGAUUACUCUCUGACACUUGACGUUUCUAUCUGUAAGCAGGUUUAGAAGCAAAAAAGAAUGCUGGAAGAAUGAAACGUGGUGAAAGCGAACACGUCACAAGUCUGGAAGGUGAUGCUGUUUUCUGGAUAGCUCUGCUGAGAGGAGAUGUUCAGAUUAAAGUGCAAGAUGGGGAUGAUGAAAAUUCUGGGACAGCAGUCAGUGGACAAGGAUGAGGGUCCUCUUGAAACUCUUCCUUUGGAGGUCCCUUAGUUUGUUCAAAAGCAAGUUGGCUGGAUGCAGCACCGAGUGAGAGUCCCGCAGCAGCACCCCCAACCCCCUGCUCAGGAGCUGCAGGAGAUGCCAGCGGUGCUUUGGAGGUGGGAAAGGGACCCACCACCCUCUUCACUAACCCAGCCCCUGCCCCUGGGGACAGGAAUGGCCUUUUGGCUCUGUUUAAGCCCAGUGGCAUCCCAGUGCAAGUCUCUGCACAUUUUUAUUACACAGCGUGUGGACCUCAGGAGCCACACACAGGAGCCCAGAGAGAAUUACUUGUAACCUUAGUGAACGAGAGGCAAUUACUCCUGAACUCCUGGGAAAACUUCUGUCCAGAGCCAAAUAUUGUUGCUUGGAUUGUUUGCUAUUCCAGGAUGACUCUUAGGCUCAGUACAACGUCAUCAUAACUUCAUGCAGAUAUUUGUUGUUCAGGACGAGUCUUGAAACUCAUGCUCUAAUCUCGAAAUAGUAAAAUGCUGCAGGGUUAAGUGGUGGAGUUCACUGGAAAAUCUGCCCACUUCAGUGGGAAAGAUUUUUUAAUAUAUUAAAAACAAAACAGAUUUGGAAAGGUCAUUUUAAAUAUUAAGAACUGUGGCUGAAGGGCAGGGCUGUGUGCUGCAGAAGUUUUGGCAUUCAGGAUCUCGUGUAGGUGCUCUGUAAAUGACCUCUCUUGUACAAGCCCACAAGGACAGGUGGGGCCGUUAAAAGGGAUAAUUAAAUUCUUAUAUUUAAUUAUCUUUCUUGUCCAGUUGUGCACUGAGAUGCCCCCACUGAUUGCACUGAUUCUGACUUCAGCAAGAGCUGGACCAGCCCUGAAUAUUUAUAAGGAGAGUUAAAUAAGAUCUCAGAUCAAAUUCUUAGAGAUACAUGUAAGAACUUUGUGAGUCUUUUUUAUUUUGAGGGCUUGUAACUAAAGGAGAUGUUCAGUGUGUUCCUUAGUGGGUGCCAAAAAGCUUAUUUUCAGAAGUGUCUGAAUCUCAGGGAAAGUCAAUGACUGCUAUAUUUAAUCUGAAGUCUAUGCAAGUGCUGCUGAAAUCAAGCUAUGUGCUUUUUGUAAUAAUGAUAUGAAAAAAUAGAGCAUUUAUAUGAAAACUCAGGAACCAUGCAUGUAACUUACAUGCCAGGGUAAUGUAGAUUUAAAAAAAACAGUUCAACAACAUGUCUGAAGUUGUGCUGCAAAUAUUACUGUAAGGAAAAUAGAAAUUAAGAAAAUAUUUGUGAACUCUUUGCAGUAUUUGGUAAAUAGUUUCCAGAAAAACUGACAUCUGAACUUUGUACACAGGCCUUGUUCUGUUGGUAACUACAGCCAGUGGAAGUUUUUGCCAUGGUCUCUACUGAAACAGGAUCCAAUUCUUUUUUUUUUCUUCUUAUGUGGAGAUAUAAAUCUUAGACCUUAAUUACACUGAAGAAGGAAAAUACUUUGUCUUUUUAUGUAAAAAAAAAAAAAAGUCAUCUAACUAUUAAAAAGCAUUAAACAAUACUUGAGGAAAGGCUUCCUUAAAUCAAACAAAUCUCUCAUUUUGCUUUUAGGCCUUCCUGGAGGGUGCUGUGUUUAUACUAUUUACUUUAAGUGUGAGAACUUUGUGUCAGAUCAAACCAUUAGCAACUCUCCGGGCAGCAAAUGGCAAAACACAGCUCGGGGCCCCUCUGGAGAAAUGCAGUUUCCACACUUUCACGUUUCACCACAGGAUGCAAGUGUCAGUGUUGCAGGGCUGUGUCCUUCCUGCGAGUGCUUUGGGAUACCAUGUGCAGAGAGCACAGUGCUGUGGCCCAGCCCUGGCUGGAGGGGCACAGCAUCACUGGCUCUGCUCCAGGUGACCAGUGGUGCAUCCUGACCAUCAGACCCCUCAGACUCAAGGUUUAGCCAUAUUUCCCUGAGGAAAUUACAUGUUUUGGUAGAAGAAGUAACCAUGAGGCAGGAGUUGAAAGCUGAAGCUGUGAAACACAAGCCUGGCCCAGUCUGAUGUCAGGGGACAACCUCUGAUGUUUGCAAUGACAUAUGAGCCAUCACUGCUGUUCCUUUGCCUUGCAAUGGCACCGUGACAGAAACCCUGCAGGACCAGGCACUGCACCAGUGCAGAACAAAAAGCUUUCCCUACCCCAAAGAAGUCUGAGACUCACAAGUCAUCCAGAAGAGGGGAUGAAGAGGAGUGAGAGCUGGGGAGGAGACUGCCAUGGCUUGCACCCACUCACCAGAGUCUCUAUCUCAGACUUGCCUGGUUGGAUGGACCCAUUCUCUGCCAUCCCAUGUUUCCCCCUGCGGGUAAAUGACGUUUCACUAGCAGGUUUUUGGAUGCAGCACUCAGUCCCAAGCAAUCCCGUGGUUUGUGUAGGUGUCUCCCUUUUGCAAAGCUUAUGCUGAGUUGUGGCUUUGAAUAUCUAUUGCAGCAGUGAGCAAUGAUUCCUGCCUGGAAGAAAACCCCUCUCCCACUGCCUCUGCCACGUCUGGAGACAUUGCGAGUCCCUCAGAGCAAAGAGGCCUUUACACAUCUCAGCAAUGGAGAAUUUUGCCUCCAGAAUUCCAAGUCUGCUCUUGAAAUUUGGCCAUUAUGUGUGUUUUGAGAGAGGGAAAACUUAUCUAGGAUUCAGUGCAUUUAUGGAGGUCUCAGAUGGAGACACUUCACUCGGUAACUCUGCUACUGACACCAGCUACUGAACAGACUGUGUAGCUCAUACAGAGGAGGUCUUGGCUCAGGCUUCCCCAUUUAAAGUGGAGCAUUCACCUUGAAUGCAACAUCCAUGCUCAAUCACAGCUGGAGCUUCCUCACAUCGAAGAUAAGACACUCUUCCUCUGGUUGGUGGUUUGGAUGGUGUCCUGCAAUGUAAACUAGAAUGAUAGGAGUAGUCUGUAAUUAGCACAUAACCUCAGGCAGUUUUGUUCCUGAAAUGCAAGGCCUAAGUUGUUCUGCUGCAAUAGCAUUGGUUUAGUGAGUCCAUUAACUGCUCUGCAUCAUGUUAGUGAAAGCUGUUCCCUAAGAGCUGCAAAGGUAUGGAAUAGGAACCAGGAGUCUCUGAUCCAGUCCUGCAGGCAUCUUCCAGUGAAACCAAAGGGAAGCCCAUCAUAUGUGUUGCCCGUGAGAUGCACCCCAUGGCAAAGCAACGAAGCCCAAGAGUUUCUGGAUGAUCUUAGCAAAGCUCGGGGGAGAGCAAAGGCAUGGGAGCACUCCUGUACCCUUUUGAACAUUUCAGUUGAUGUUGUUAAUUGUAGUGGAGCUGCUGCAAAUAUUUUGGAAAGCAAAUAUUUGAUGUCCCCUUCCAGCAGAAAAUAAGUCGAAGGACCAACCUGCUGCCACUCACUUGGUCAUUGCAACAAAACCGGGGCUGAGAAUCAAUAGCAACGAUGUUGAGCUUUUGUGGUCACCUCCUCUCCAAACAAGGGCUGUGAUGUGAGAGCAAACAACACCUGCUUGGAGGAACUGGGCACAGGCUGAAAGGGACCUGGUGGGCAGAGGCUGUUUGUGCAGCACUGGGCUCUGGGGUGGGGCUGCUGGCAGAGGCAGGAGGAAGAUGAUAUCUCCAUUAGCCCGUGCUAAUGCCAGAGGCAGAAAUGGGCGAGCUCCUGCCUUCCCUGUGCCCUGGCUGGUGAGUGAUGGACAACGACUCCGCCGUGCCUGCCAGGAGGAAAGCCCUGGAGUGGGACUGCCAUCCAGCCAGUCCUGCUCUUGCCUGGGGUGUGAGUCACAUCAGAGGACAAAUCGAAGGGUUUUCACAAGGAGAAAAUUGGGCAGCUCCUUGUGUGGCAGAGGCAGCAGAUCUGUCCCCACUCACAUCUCUGCCCAAGUAUGAAUUCUCUAAGGAAGACCAAUAUCACUUUGCCCUAACUGGAAAGCAGGGGAGAUGGCACGUACUUCACAUGCUCUGGCUGGGCCCAGAUACCCAAUGUGCAAGUGAUCUGCUUUUGGGUGCUGCUUUUUUUCUUAAUCUUAUUUUUUUUGUUGUUUUUAGCCUUCUAAAAACAAACUUCGGAUUCAUCAACUGGAAGUGAUCUCAUCACAUUACAGAUUCGCUUUCCUGGGAAACUGAACUUCUGGAUUAUCUUCCCUCUUUUUGUUGACUAAAAGGACAAGUCUAUUUCAGUUGAAGGAAGAGCCAAGAUUAUGAUGUGGCACUGAACUUUGCUGAGGAUUCACUGUUUGUCUCUGAAAUCAUCCUCGGACAGCAGUGAGACACCAGACCCAUCUCCUGGUUGGACUUGGCUCUGUGCUGUGAUUCCAGGACUGGCAUGGGGUCCCUCUCAGCACGUUCCAGGGUGCAGAGGCACCUCUGAGCAGUGAGGAGGUGAGCCUGUGCUGAGGCAGCAUCAGUCCAGCUCUUUGCUGCUUUGCCCACCUCGUGUGUGCAGGAAAAACCUUGUCUCAGCCUGGGCCAGACCCACCUGUGAGCGCGUGGAUGGGGACGUGCCGCGCCGCAGGCUGGGAUGUGCUGCUGGGAAAUAACACUGGCUCUUGGCCAGCCUGGAGCAGGGAGGUGGCAGGGAGUGCCUUUGAUGCCUCUGCUCCGGCUGAGCAGUGGCUCUGGGGGGGGUGGCCCCACGGACAGUCACAGCGAGACUCUCCAACAAGCUGUUCCCAUUCCUGCUCAUCGUGGAAGCAGCAGCCCACCUGUUCUCCGCUGUGCUGGAAUAUCAGCCGGCACGCUGGCUCUGUUGUUUCAGGCUGCAGUGGGUAAUUUUUAAUCCCUCUAUUCAGAGUGUUUCUAGGAACAGGAGGAGAAACAUACGGCAUAUGCUCACCUCGCCUCCCAGGAGGUGUGGGGGAGUGUGUCCCAGCAGCUGCUGGGGUAAUCCUUGUCCUUCUGUCCCCAACCACAUCUGAAAGGUGUGCCCAGCAUGUCUGGGAAUCACCCUGCAAGCAGGUGGGCUCCACUGGCUGGGCAGGUCUGAGGGGGGCAAAGUCCCUUCUUUCCUUCUGCAGCCAACAGGGGCAUGGACAAGGGCAUGUGCAGGGCACAGGAACUGGAGAAGUGACUCCAUCCUCUCCUGGGUUUCCCUGAGGCAGACCAGCUCCACAGUGGUGCGGGGGGGACCUCAAAGGCACAGGUUAUCCCUCCACAGUCACACUGGGGCUUUUAGGGUACGGGUGCCAUGAGUGUUGGAAAGUUGCUUGGAUUAAGGACUCACAUUUGGCCAAAGAGGGUCUCUGGUGAGAUCUGGGCUGGACGCAGCUGUGAUCUUAAAGCACACAAGGUAUCUGCAGGAGUAGAGAGGGGGGAGCAGGCUGAGUGCUCAGCUACUGGGACCUACCUCCUGGAUCCUGCAGCUCCCCCUGUCUUCCCUUGUCACCAAAUCUCCAGCACAUGAGGCUUUGAUGCCCUGUCGUUGCUCAUUGUCCUGGCCCUCACCCUGACCCAACUGCAGCCGACGGGAAUGGUGUCAGUGGGGCUGGUGGCAUAACGAACAUUUUGUCUUCUCCCUGCGCUUGUUCCCUCCUGUAUCCCCUCCUGCCCACCCUGCUCUCUCUCUCUCUCACUGCAUCGCCUGCUCUGGGCACCAUCUGGUGAAUUUUGGGCUGUCUCAUCUCACCAACUGUCGUUUGUCCUGGCUGUGGUGUAAAUGCGCUCACGUUUUGCUUCAAAGGACCCCUAAACCACUCUCUUUGUGGACCAGCCGGGCUGUCGGAGAGGAGCCAAGCCGUUGGCACUCAGCAAGCAACAAGCAUUAAUAAAAGCAUUACAGUGAGGUUAGAGCCUCAUUAAAGUAAUGCUAACGAACCGGCUGCCUUCCAAAAGUAUGAAAUUUUUGCUAACACUUCCUCCUUCUAAUUUUAAGUAUAUUUAAAUCUUUCUAGGGAAGCAAUAUUCAGUCCUCCAGGCUACAGCAUAAGCAAAUCCCAUUUCAGAGGAGCUGCUCUGGAAGUGCACUGGUGUCCCUGGGAGUGUUCUCCAGCCCCAUCCUGCAGCCUCACUGCCAUGAGCACACAGUGGGGCUGCCCAGACGUUUUCCCCCCUGUGCAGUGUCCUGGAGCUCACUCUACAGAAGCCCCAGUGCUCCAGAGUGCCUGCCAGCACCGGGGUAUGUGGACUGAAGGCAGGGGCUGGACUCACUGCUGCCCCAUGCUCCCAGCCUUGGCCACAGCCAGCAGGCUUGGGUUAGAGCAGCCAAAGGAACCGCUAAUUGACCCAGGCUGGCACGGGUCUGGCCCUGAGGUGCACAGUGCCCUUCAUCACAGCUCUUCUCCACUACUGUUGACUCGCAGAGACACUGGGAUGAAAGGCUUGGCAGCUCGUAUCUGCUGCUGGCACCCUUUGCCAGGUGUGUCUGGAGGGGGGAGAUCCCACGGUUUGUGCCCCGUGGUCCACAAGCAGCGUCUGAGCUUUGCUGGGUGGAGAUCGCUGGGCUCAGGGCUGGGACUGACGUGCCAAAGGGGCUUUGCUCUGGGACCCCCUCCAGCCUCCUCGAGCACCCUCAGGGCUGGCUCCAGGUGGUUCUCCUGGCUCCCCACGCUCCCCCCGGGCUGUGCAGCUCUGUGCCCGCUGCGGCAGACACCCAACUGCCCGCCGAGCCCGCGGCUCCAUUGUAAAGCAAAUUAAUUCGCCGCCGCGCCGAGGAAUAGCCGUGCUCUCGGGGAGGCUUGGCAGCAGCAGUGAGGAAAGCAGCUGCUCCAGGACUCACAGCCCCUUUUUAUUUCAUUCGCCUGGUUUUAGCAGCAUGUGAUGGGCACAUGAGCAGCAGCUCUGCCGGACAUCUCUCUGGCUGGGGGGCUGAAGCUGCUGUCUGCCCCACUCCUGUGUGAGCACACGGCUUCUCCCUGCUGGUCCUCCUCCUCUCAGCCCAGACAGGUUUUUAUUCUCCUGCUCACUUUGAAGCAAACCCAGCAGUUUCAUUGUCAAAGGACAGUGUUUGAUGGAUGAAUCCCUCUCUCUUUUACCUUGCCUGAUAGGGAGGGUACAGGGCAAACAUGAUGUUUUAAACAAUAAAUACCACUUUCUUGUGUGGAAACAACCAGUCCAAAUGGUCUCUGCUAUGUUUAGAAGCCCGUUUGAAGGGUCUGCCUGAGGGAGAGGGUGUCAUCAGAAUGAACUCAGUGUUACAGCACUGCCUUAUGUGCGACUUGUUGCAGAGACUGAGAGCUCAAUGAAGUUGCAGGUUUGUACUAAGGGUGUUCCCCCACUGCCUCCCGAAUCUUGUGGGUUAGGGGGGGCUGCAGAGGCAAUAGCUCAGCUCCUGGGUGUCCAUGCCUGGGGCUGGCAGUGUCUGUGGGAGUUCAUGUCUUGCUGCAAGAUUUCCUCUUCAUUUCAAGCAUUACAACACAGAUUUUCCUCUUGCAAAGGCCCCAGCUCUGCAGACAGGCACUGUCCUCACUGCAGGGAAAUUAAUAGGGUGUCUCAGAGCAAAGGUAAAACUAAACUACAUAAGUAAAUGUUUGCAGGAUCAGGACCUUAUUCAGGCAUAAAUCAGGUAGCUCCAGCCAACAAUAGAAUUACCUCAGUAUAAAAUCCCAUGUAAGCCAGUAAGAUCAGCUCCAAACCUGCUAUGAAUUUGCUUUUUGUUUCGAUGCCAAAAAUAUAUCACUUCUAACUGCUGCAAUCAGGGCUGGUCUUUUCAAUUUAUUUUUUUUUAAGUGCUUUUGGGCACAUUUAUUUCCCGUCACCAGCAGAUACGAGUGGAGCCUGACCCUCCUUCCCCUGGGCAUGUCCCAGCCUGCUUUUGCCCACAAUUAAUUGUCGCUAUCAGGGAAUAUUUUUUUUCUUUCCUUGCCUUUUUUUGUUACUGCAUUUGGUAAACAAAGGGACAGCAGUGACGAUCCAAAACCGUUCUUUUUAUUUGCCUGGGAACAGAGUCAACUAUUUGUGGGUCUUUUGUUGCUGAUUUUUUUUCUCUUUUUAGCUGGUGACUGUUUAAACGGCUACUGGUACCUGUGGUGAGCAUGUACUGGUGCUGUGGGAUUUGUCACCUGAUGGCACUGAAAAUCACAGAUGGGGCACUGAUGAGGACAAGGAGCUGCACAUGGAACGUACCAGGUCAAACCAAAGGUCCAGGGUGCAGUGGUCCCUUCUGUCCUUCCCAAAGAAUAUGAAAAUAGCCUGCAGGGUUUUUCUGGUGGCUGCACUUGCCUCAGUUUCCCCAGUUCUCAGCUCUCUGUUUUGAGGUGGUGCCCCAAGACGAGAAGCCUGGUGAUGUUUGCACCUGGUUGAGCCAGGAUGAGACUGGUUCUUGGAAAUGAGCUUGUCAAAACAGCUGGGAGAAGGAAGGCAGGGAGGGAUGAGAGAUAGAGAGAAGGAAGCUGUAGGCUCUUUUAGCUUGAGGGCAGACUUACACUGGCCUCUCCGUCCCUGGGGCCCAUGCAGCAGCAGAGCAGUCAGUGAAGGCAGCUUCUGGAAUGGUCUCUUCCUAGCAGAUACCAGUGUCAUCCCCACCUGCCCCUCCAACUACAACCUACAGGGUGCUCCGAAAACCCAGGCAGAGCUUCUCUGCCCCAUUGCACCAGGACACAGCCGGCCCUGGGACAGCACUGUGAGGAACAGGAAUGCAUUUUCCAAGGGACAUUUAGGGUCUUCAGUUAUUUUU